GUCUCUGCAGCGCAAUGGAUAGCAUGUUGGACGAGUAUUCCAAAGAUCGUGAGUUCGAAUCCCACCUGGGAUA